UACGUAGGGUGCGAGCGUUGUCCGGAAUUAUUGGGCGUAAAGAGCUCGUAGGCGGUCUGUCACGUCGGCUGUGAAAUCCCGAGGCUCAACCUCGGGUCUGCAGUCGAUACGGGCAAACUAGAGUAUUGCAGGGGAGACUGGAAUUCCUGGUGUAGCGGUGAAAUGCGCAGAUAUCAGGAGGAACACCGGUGGCGAAGGCGGGUCUCUGGGCCGAUACUGACGCUGAGGAGCGAAAGCGUGGGGAGCGAACAGG
rnacentral:rRNA from 1 species